rnacentral:rRNA from 1 species
CCUACGGGUGGCAGCAGUGGGGGAUAUUGCACAAUGGGGGGAACCCUGAUGCAGCGACGCCGCGUGGGUGAAGAAGCGCCUCGGCGCGUAAAGCCCUGUCAGCAGGGAAGAAAAUGACGGUACCUGAAGAAGAAGCCCCGGCUAACUACGUGCCAGCAGCCGCGGCAACACGUAGGGGGCAAGCGUUACCCGGAUUUACUGGGUGUAAAGGGGGCGCAGACGGCGAUGCAAGCCAGGAGUGAAAGCCCGGGGGCCAACCCCGGGACUGCUCUUGGAACUGCGUGGCUGGAGUGCAGGAGGGGCAGGCGGAAUUCCUGGUGUAGCGGUGAAAUGCGUAGAUAUCAGGAGGAACACCGGUGGCGAAGGCGGCCUGCUGGACUGCAACUGACGUUGAGGCCCGAAAGCGUGGGGAGCAAACAGGAUUAGAUACCCGAGUAGUC